rnacentral:tRNA from 1 species
GGCUCCAUAGUGUAGUGGUUAGCACGUUUCCUUUGCACACAGAAGGUCCUGGGUUCAUGCCCCGGGUGGAGCCA